GAUGAACGCUGGCGGUAUGCUUAACACAUGCAAGUCGAACGGUACCUUCGGGUAUAGUGGCGGACGGGUGAGUAACGCGUGAGAAUCUAUCUUCAGGUCGGGGACAACAGUUAGAAAUGACUGCUAAUACCGGAUAUGCCGAAAGGUAAAAGAUUUAUUGCCUGAAAAAGAGCUCGCGUCAGAUUAGCUAGUAGGUGGUGUAAGAGACUACCUAGGCUUCGAUCUGUAGCUGGUCUGAGAGGACGAUCAGCCACACUGGAACUGAGACACGGUCCAGACUCCUACGGGAGGCAGCAGUGGGGAAUUUUCCGCAAUGGGCGAAAGCCUGACGGAGCAAUACCGCGUGAGGGACGAAGGCUCUUGGGUCGUAAACCUCUUUUCUCAAGGAAGAUUCAGACGGUACUUGAGGAAUAAGCAUCGGCUAACUCUGUG
rnacentral:rRNA from 1 species